rnacentral:rRNA from 1 species
GAACUUAGCAGAGAUGCUUUGGUGCCUUCGGGAACUCUGAGACAGGUGCUGCAUGGCUGUCGUCAGCUCGUGUUGUGAAAUGUUGGGUUAAGUCCCGCAACGAGCGCAACCCUUUAUCCUUUGUUGCCAGCGGUCCGGCCGGGAACUCAAAGGAGACUGCCAGUGAUAAACUGGAGGAAGGUGGGGAUGACGUCAAGUCAUCAUGGCCCUUACGAGUAGGGCUACACACGUGCUACAAUGGCGCAUACAAAGAGAAGCGACCUCGCGAGAGCAAGCGGACCUCAUAAAAUGCGUCGUAGUCCGGAUUGGAGUCUGCAACUCGACUCCAUGAAGUCGGAAUCGCUAGUAAUCGUAGAUCAGAAUGCUACGGUGAAUACGUUCCCGGGCCUUGUACACACCGCCCGUCACACCAUGGGAGUGGGUUGCAAAAGAAGUAGGUAGCUUAACCUUCGGGAGGGCGCUUACCACUUUGUGAUUCAUGACUGGGGUGAAGUCGUAACAAGGUAGGCGUAGCGAG